GAUGAACGCUAGCGGCAGGCUUAACACAUGCAAGUCGAGGGGUAACAGGGAAGAGCUUGCUUUUCCGCUGACGACCGGCGCACGGGUGAGUAACGCGUAUAGAACCUACCUUUUACAGGGGAAUAGCCCAGAGAAAUUUGGAUUAAUGCCCUAUAGUAUUAUUGAAUGGCAUCAUUUAGUAAUUAAACAUUUAUGGGUAAAAGAUGGCUAUGCGUUCUAUUAGCUAGAUGGUAAGGUAACGGCUUACCAUGGCAACGAUAGAUAGGGGUCCUGAGAGGGAGAUCCCCCACACUGGUACUGAGACACGGACCAGACUCCUACGGGAGGCAGCAGUGAGGAAUAUUGGACAAUGGAGGCAACUCUGAUCCAGCCAUGCCGCGUGCAGGAAGACGGCCCUAUGGGUUGUAAACUGCUUUUAUACGGGAAGAAACCCAACUACGUGUAGUUGGCUGACGGUACCGUAAGAAUAAGCACCGGCUAACUCCGUGCCAGCAGCCGCGGUAAUACGGAGGGUGCAAGCGUUAUCCGGAAUCAUUGGGUUUAAAGGGUCCGUAGGCGGGCUAAUAAGUCAGGGGUGAAAUCCAACAGCUUAACUGUUGAACUGCCUUUGAUACUGUUAGUCUUGAAUUAUAUGGAAGUAGAUAGAAUGUGUAGUGUAGCGGUGAAAUGCUUAGAGAUUACACAGAAUACCGAUUGCGAAGGCAGUCUACUACGUAUAUAUG
rnacentral:rRNA from 1 species